CCGUGUUUGGUAAACACAUUUUUGGGCCUUCAAAUCUUGAUUGAGGACAGCCCGGUGAUGAUACAGAGUACGGACACCCUACCAUGUGGCUGCACAGUAUGAGGGGAUUUCUGUUUCAUUGUUUUCUUUCAUGCUUGAAAGCUGAAGUCUAAGCAGGGAUGCCCAGACUUCCCUCUCCCCAGACAC